AACUCCGCCAUAUUGACUAGCUGAUCGAGGGUGUGCCAAAAAUUCACUGGAGAACUUAGUAAAAUUUGAGUCAAAAUCAAAGGGCAUACGAGUGAAUGAUGGAGUGUUAAUGUAUUGUGGAGAUGCUACCUUUCCACAGACAUCAGUUGUGAAACUCCCCCCAUGGUACAAGGAAUUAAUAAAAUAAGAACUGAUCCCCUCUAAUCCAGAAGACAUAGAAAAAACAACAAGGAACCAAUAUGAAAACCCUGUCUGGUUUAAAUAUCGGGCAAACCGCAUCACAGCAUCACAGCCUGUCUGGUUAAAAUAUCGGGCAAACCGCAUCACAGCAUCACAGCCUGUCUGGUUUAAAUAUCGGGCAAACUGCAUCACAGCAUCACAGCCUGUCUGGUUUAAAUAUCGGGCAAACCGCAUCACAGCAUCACAGAUGCAUCGAGUUGUAAAAAGGAAGAAACAACCAAAUGAUUUGCUGUUAAACUCCCUUUUUCAAAGUAAAUCAUCGACAAAGUCUGCAGCUACAGAAUAUGGAUUAAGUAGGGAAAAACUGGCCAGGGAGAAAUUAGCAAAACUCAAAUCAGUCCAAAAUGCACACCUUCAUGAUUGUGGACUGAUUAUCAAUAAUGCAUUCCCAUUUCUUGCUGCAACUCCUGAUGGUAAACUGUGUGAAAAUGGAGAGUGUGGGAUUGUUGAAAUUAAAUGUCCAUAUUUGGCCAGAGAUUUGUUGUUCUCAGAUAAAAAAUUCCAUGCUAAAAGAGGAAAAUGGUCUGAUAUCAAUAAAUAGGAAACAUGAUCAUUAUGUUCAAGUACAGGGACAAUUACUUGUGUCUGGUGCACCAUGGUGUGAAUUUAUAGUCUACACAACAAAGGACAUGCUUGUUGAACGAAUUUUCCCUGAUGUUUCAUUCAUGACAGACAUGCUUCUAAAGCUGUCUUUCUUCUAUAAAUUCUUUGCUGUUUCCUUCUUAAAGAAGUACCUGCAAGUAAUGAUAGUCCCUCAAAACAAUUUUCAGCUGGAGUUGGCCGCUAUUCAAUGACGACUCCCCAAUCUCAUCAAUACAUUCUUUAGGCGAGGUUGUACAUGUAUCACUUGCAGUUGUUGUAUGUGAAUUUUGUUGAAUAUUAUGGUAUGGCCUGUAAAUAAAAUGUGUAAUUAUG
rnacentral:sRNA from 1 species